UAAAGAGAGUGCAAACGUUGAUCGGAAUUACUGGGCUUAAAGAGCACGUAGGCGGCAUCGUAAGUGUCGGGUGAAAUCCCACGGCUCACCCGUGGAACUGCCCGGCAUACUGCGGUGCUAGAGUGUGGUAGGGGAGAGCGGAACUCCUGGUGGAGCGGUGAAAUGCGUAGAUAUCAGGAGGAACACCGGUGGCGAAGGCGGCUCUCUGGUCCACAACUGACGCUGAGGUGCGAAAGCUAGGGGAGCAAACGGG
rnacentral:rRNA from 1 species